AUUCUCCUUAGUAGCAGCGACGAUGUUGUUGCAUGGUCUGCGAAAUUAUCGUCAGCACCAGGAAGGAUAACGUUGCGUAAGCAACGGCCCGAAGGGCGAGGCUUAGCCGAGUCAUCCUCCCGGAUGCACCA
rnacentral:sRNA from 3 species